rnacentral:lncRNA from 1 species
UACAAGGUGAACGUCCAAUGGGGUUAGUGCAAAUGGGAAAACGAGACCCAUGCAAGGCACAACCCCUAAAUAAAAGUAUAACUAGAUAACAAAAAGAAAGAGAAAGAAAAAAGACCUAUUUACAGUAACUAUAUACAUAAUGCAGUUUAGUUUAGAAACGAUGGCAGGAGCAGCCGCGUGUGAGUGACCAAAUGCAUGGCAUAUCCACAUUAAAAGUAUCCUUGACCAAGUUGGAGUAUGUCGCAUGCAGGAAGCGUUUAAAAAUACUUAGGCUGGCAAAUUUGUCUGUGGAGGCUAUUUUACAAACAAAGUUCCAAGGCUUAACUACUCGGCUGAAGAACGAAGCCUGAAAAGUUGAUGUUUUACAGUACGAAGGUUUCAGAACAAGGGAUGGAUUUUGAGAGCGAGAACGACUAUGUUGCACAAAAGAUACAAACUGUUCAAUGUUCAAGUCAAUACAACCGAAGAUAGAUUUAUAAACCAAAACAAGGUCUCGAAG